rnacentral:ribozyme from 1 species
AAAAAAGAGAGAGAAAGACAAAAUGAAAACAGUUGUUCCUUUUUUUCCUUUUUCUCUCACACACAUAUAUUCUUUUUCUUACUUUCCUUUUUCUUCUUCCGAAUGCACUUCAUCAU